GGACUCUCAGAAGACGCAUUUGGGGAGUCUCCCCUGUGCCGCAGAGGAAGGUCAGCCAAAAGUGUCAUGUCUGCAGCCUGUCGUCAGUCACAAAAGUUGGCCUGGUAGGAGGGGCUGGAGCUGUGUUUUAACCCUCACCGUGUGUCUCUGUGCCUUUCUUCACUGUUGCCUUCACUGAUAACUAGCUCGUGUGCCGUAGUUGUGAGAGUUGCCAAAAUCAAGAUGGAGUCACUUGUGUCAUUCCUAAUAAAUAAGGCCAGGAAGUCCUGAAGGAAUGGUUCUCAUGUACAGUUGCCUGCCAUCACAAAAGAUUCUACGGGACUAUAAACUUGCAUAAAAGGCCACCAUACCCUUACACACACACACACAAAAAAAAAAUACUUAUUUAAGACAUCUGCUCAUAACUGCCCACCCAAACUUGGACUGGUGUCACCCUUGCUAUUAAUCCCUUGUGGUCCAAGAUCAUUGUUUCAAAAUAUCAUAUAGUUCUCAUCAUUUUGCCUUUUAAUUUUUCCCCUUGUCUCCACCUCCUUGGAUACACUCAUUAUGGGCUAUGACACAUGUAUUCCCAUUAUCCUUGCUCUGCUGUUCCCAAAUAAGUAUAUUAGCCUUUUGAGAAUCUCUCUCUGAUUGUUAUUUAGAUUGACAUGAGGUUGAGCAGGUGGUUGCUGCAAGAAGCAGGAGACACGGAAAGUGAGGUCUGAUGCUUUCCCUCCUCUCAGAAGGAUCAGCUCUUUAGCAAGGACUAGAUUCAAAGGCCACCCCUGGAAUCACCAGAGCUCAAGCCUCACCUCAUUGCAGCCCUUAUCCUGCUCCUCUCCUCUCCUCAAGACUCUCAUCCCACCAUCUUGCACCCAAUGCACGACCAGAUGCUCAGCUCUCUGCGGUCUCAUGUGGUUUGUGGUGCUUUCAUGGGUGCUGCCCCCCCACACACACACACACACUGGCCUCUGCCAAAGCCACAGUCCUCGUAAGCAGGUGCUCUAGCUUUCACCUCAUUUGCAACCCUGCAGGGCUCUCUGUGAAAGCUGGUUGAUGGACUGAUGGAAAGUGGAUUUGGCUAUGGAGUCCACAAAGCCUCUCUGAACACACUAUUUUCUAUAGGGUGUUAAGAAUGAGCCUGGGGUUGUUGAGAGCUGGUUAUCUGGAGGCUUCUUGGUCUCCUCCACUCAACAUUUGCUCCUAAUUGUCCCUGGAGAUGAUGAGGCCCAGGAAUUCCACUCUCUGUUCCUUUUGCAGGUGGCCACUUUAAAAAGUCACUUUCCAGAUUCCUCUCCAGGGUCACACCGACCCGACUGCCUGCUGAACUCUACUGUCUGCCCAGCACUGUGCUCAGACAUGUCCUCAGAAACAUUCUGUGUUAAUUCGGGAGUGAAAGUACACACCAAAGUUAUCUCCCCAUCUCGUCCCUCUUUCUUCUAUUUCUUGGGCAUUUUAUAAGUUCUUAUCACAUGUCCAACUUCCUGAUCUUACUUUCCACAGUCUGAGAACUAAGAUCAACUUCCCAAUGUUCCCUUUCUGGUCCUCUGACAUCUUUCAUAGACUCUCCCAGUUGUCUUUUUAUGAGUUUGAUUGUUAACUGCUAUAGAAACAAAUUAAGAAUAGCAACCACAUGGAAGUUGCAAAAGUUCCUGCUGUGGUUUGAAUAUGGUCUGUCUUCCAAAGGUUCAUAGGCUAGUCUCCAAUAUAAUGGCACUGAAAGAUGGUAUGGCCUCUAAGAAGUAAGGCCUAGUGUGUCAGGAAGAGAGGAUUCGCUUCCACCAGAGUGGGUUGUUAUAAAAAAGCAAGCCUGGUCCUUCACUGAUCUGUUGCUGCUUCUCUCACCAUGUAACCUCUUCCACAGGCACCACUCCCUGCUCUUGCACAGUCUGCCACCAUGUGAUACCUUCUACCAUGCUGUGAUUUAGCCAGAAAACCCUCACCAGCAGCCAAACAAAUGGGUUCUGCUUGAUCCUGGACUUUCAGUCUCCAAAAUUGUGAGCUAAAUGAAACUUUUUUCUUUAUAAAAUGUACCCAGUGUCAGGGAUUUUGUUACAGUAACACAAAAUGGGCCAAGAUAUUCCCAAAUCUUUAUAUGGAUGGGAGCUAAAUUGGUGCAACUUUUCUGAACAUCAGAUUGACAAUAUUGCUUUUAAUAGUUCGUGUACUUUAGUUUUUCCUCUUCUCCAUGGUCCUUUGAGACCUGAAAGGGCUAGGUCCAACAGUGGGCAGAUCCCUCAGGCGGCCUACCCAUAGGAAGUUCUCCCAGUGGGAUUCUGGUUCCUGAGAAGACACCCCUGGGAGCUGAGGGACACUCGAGGCUGCAGCCAGAGCUAAGCGGAUGUGCUUUGAAGUAUGAGGCACUGGUAUUUAAAAGAUUAUGGUAUCUGAAAACAUAGUGUUACAAAAGGGAACUUUUGCAAUGACAUUGAAGAUCAUUCCAUUGAUGUUCCUAGAAAAAAAGAUCUCUAAUUUGACUAAUAAGAACAUGAAAGAGCUUAAGAAUUCUACAAAACAGUUGAACAUUUACAUAAAUAGAACAGUUGGACGAGCUAUGAAAUACCCAGAUAAACUAUGUAGGAAAAUCUUUAGCAGAAAGAAAGCUCAUCUUUAUCCAGAUCUUCCUGAUAGGGAAAAAGAAGAAGGAGGAGGAGGAGGAGGCGGAGGAGGAGGAGAAGGAGGCGGAGGAGGAGGAGGAGGAGGAGGAGGAGGAGGAGGAGGAAAUGUCCCCUGCUGAGACCAGGCAAAUAAAGAAAAUGAACUGGCCUAUGCAGGCCACCUGCCUGAGAGAUUCUGACAUGAUAGUUGAAUAGAGCUGGUUAACUCCAGUGAUUCGGAUUACUCACAGACAGAAAGCCCAUCAUUAAAAUAGAUUGUUCUUUUCCCCUGAGGUUUCUCAGGCUCAUGAAAUGAUGACAAAAACAUUGUUCAGCAGGAAUUUAGGAUUGAAUGUAUGUUUACCUUUGCAGAGAAAAAGAAGUGUCUGUGAACUUGCAGCUCACUUGGUGAGGAUAGCAGAUCUUGGAUUUUGAUGGAUUGACUGCUUGCACUCACCAAUAGUUUACAGGAAGAAAAGUAAUAUAUCUCACUUGGCUGCUGAAUAAACUUAUUAUCUCAUGUAAAAUCCUUCAAAGCAAACUUGAGGAACAUGCAGUAGUUUAAACUGGCUUCAAGCCAUGAUUAAAAAAAAAAAAGUUGGUGGUCAGACUAUCAUCAAAACAAAUGAUAAAUUAUGGACAUAUUUCAGAUUUUAAAAUAACAAGUGGACCGUGGAGAUAGAAAAACCAUUUUACUUUGGUUUCAGGAUAUACUUACAGUACAGCUAAAGAUGUAAAUGUUUAUUUAUUUCAGUCGAAUUGAGCGAUUUCAUCUUUGAAAGAGUUAUUUGUUUACUCAAGACAAGCCAGAACUAUAUGAUUUCCAGGAAAAUGUCAUCCAAGAAUUGUGAACUUUGGAAGAAACUGAAACCACAUUUGUCUUUUAAAAGGCACUUAAUAAACUUACAAAUGAAAUGCUAAACAUUCUAUUUCACAUUAAAAUGAAAAAAUAUCCAAAAGAAGUAGCAUCCAAUUCAAUGAGGUGAACAUACAUGAUGAAGAUCAUUUGAUUCUGCUGCACUCAGGAUUUAUAUGGUUAUUUGAUAACAUUGUUUAAGAACUACUCGGUCUUAGUGCAAUCCUGUAUGUUGCUUAAAAAUAUAACUUGUAUUAUGUGAGAAAAUAAUUCAUAGCAUUACUAGGAACCAAAAAGAUCAAUCAUUAUUAAUUUUUUGAAGAUCAUAUUUUAUUAGAAAAUAGUAAAGCAUGUACAGCUAUUUUUGUUGUAGAAAAGAUUCUGAAAGUUUAGAAUUUCUUAAGAAAUAAUCAAUAUUAAAACAUUUUUGUCCACACUGAUACUGCGUAUGAAAAGUGCCUUAAUUAUUAGUAAGUCAAUUUAUUAAGACACCUGUAUCUAUUUUAAAAAUUAUAAAACAAACCAUGUAUCCAUCAUGAAAAAUAAUAGCAGUAAGUCAGAGAUUUACAAUCAUGUAGAAUGUUGUUGAAACUUAUUCCAUACCACUUUUAGAACUGCAGAAUAUUCUUAUUAUCUCUUUUUUUGCCAGAAUCGUCAUGUCAUGUAUGUAUAUUAUCCCUCUAUAAAAGAAAAAGAUGAAUGAAUAUUUGUAUGAAUACUUAAUAAAAAAUAAAUGUGGAAUUGGCUA
rnacentral:lncRNA from 1 species